ensembl:lncRNA
UUUGAAGCCCCAUGCCAUGGACUCAGUGUAUGCAUAAGGAGCAAACAGCACUAAUUUGUUUUCCUACUCUUUAUGGAUACUACAGUGAGCAAAGCUGUCAACUAUUUCUGCUCUUAACACACAUGAAGUUCCAGUGAAUCCAUGAGAGAGUUCAGCCUGAGCUUAAUGGAGAACUGGUCAACUCUCUUCAGAACUGAGAGGGGACAUUAACUGCUGCCCGGAGAAGGUAUCAACUGGUCUCUGAAGGUCAUCUCCAGGCUGGUUUUCCACACAGUUUAAUGACGCCUGUGAGGAAGAAACGAGGCAACAGAAAGCAGGUAAGUUCCAAAAACCGUCUGUGUUACUCCAAAGAGUGAGUUUGAUUACUACAUUGCUGUUUUAAGAGCUGAGUGCGCGCCCGAAGAGGCUACAAAGUAACUUUGGCAUCCAUUACAUCCUGUUUUAGAGACUCUUGGCACAUCCUAGGCGCUGCCUAAUAGAAAGAGACUGAUCCAGAGACGAGGGUCCCUAUGAACAGCUUCACUAAGGACUCUGAAGUCUAGAAAGGAGCCCCGAGGCUCCUAUGCUUUCCUGGUGCCAGAGCUGCCGAGCCAGGCUCUCCACCUCCAGCAUCAAGGGCUAUUGCAAAAGCAAUGUUCUAAAGUGCCACAAUGGAGGAUUAGGAUAAGGAGACCAAAGAACUGACCUCUACUAAAAAUAAAACUUGGCUCCCCUUGGGAAUUCCUUAGUGGAUUGUGCAACAGUGUGCAGAAUGCUUCAGGGACCAGCAUAUUUUUUAGAUGCUCCUCCCUACCCCCAACUCCUCUUCAUGAACAGCCUUGGUGUACUCUGCCAUCCACACUGAAGACCACAGCUGUUUUGUUUGGACAGGCUGGUCUCAAAGUUUGAGCUUACACACAAAAGGCUUAUCACCGACACCAGCCUUUCUCUGACAGCUGUUUUCUUUCCCAGCCCCAGGGCUUUGGUUAAAGGAAGAAGAAGAAGAAGAAAAAAAAAAAAAAAAAAAAAAAGAUUUGCUGAAAAGAAACCAAGUUAUCAGUAAACUCCAGUACAUGCCCGCCUUCAAGACCUGAGGGAGACUCUCCCACAGCCCUAUGCCACACCAAACAACUAGUUUGAUAGAUAUAUUCAUUUUGCCCUUAAAAGCUGAUGGGGUAGCAGAGCCAAAUUUGCUUCCUAUAAUAAAGCGAGGAAUUUCAGAAAAUUACAAGGGCUGCCUUGCACAGAAAGCCUGCCAGUGAUCCUGAGUUUUUGCUACACGUAUCCCAGUAGCAUAAGGCUGGCUGGAGGGAAUCAGCGCCAGGUAUGUGCGCGCUGCAUCUAGGAGAACUGAUAAAAUCGGAUCCUGUCAGCUGUGUAAAUUGAGAGGAAGAGGCGCCUUCAGCGACUUCCUUCGGGAAGGUUCGUUUUUGUGCUGGUGAACUGCUCCCCCUGGUGGAUCCGCAGCCUCCACGUUCACGGAACCAUUCUACAGGGACCAAACGUGCAGGUAUAGGUAAACCCUUUGGAGAAAAGAAAAGUUAACUUGGGGCACUCUGCCUUCGUCAAUUCCUCCUGCGCAUCACUGAGACUUUAUCUUCCCACCUUGCCACCUGCCCUGUCUGUUCUUAUUACCAGUGUCGUGAUGAUUUGACAAGCAUGGAAAACUAUCUUUAAGCUCUCUAUUUUGUUUUAUUUCCCUUUAGAAGUAAAUCUGGACAUUUAUUUACAAGGGGAAAAUUACCCCCACCGUGGGUGACAUUUUAUUGUGACACAACUUGUUUUCCUUACUUCCUAUCCACUUUUGAGUCAUCCUCUGAGGCAGACAUCGUGACUGUGGAUAAUUAAUGCCUAGACUCCUUAGUGUGUCUCUGUGUGUGUGUGUGGGGGGAGGGGUGGUUUAUGAAUUCCCACAGACCAACUUUCUAUCAUUAUUGUACAUGUCAUUGCUGAUGAAAAUAAAUAAUUGAUGUUGCUCUUUUCAUGAAGGACAUUUGCUGUGUGCCCUGCCAUCCAAGGACAGAGAGGAUGAUGAUUGGGCAGGGAUCAUCGUCUAUGUCAAGUCUCUCACUUUGGAAUACUCUGCAAAGUCAAAUUGCAGCCUCUGGUCGAACACUUUAUAAUCUAAAUAAGGAGAUAUUUUAAAUAUUUAUUUAACAAGACAUAUUUUAAAUAACCAACAUAUGUAAAUAGAGCGCUCUUAGCCUGUACAUUAUUGCUGGGUCGAUUCUCAUGUUCUGAUAUAUAAUUAAUUACCGGUUUAUUCCUCUGUAAACUGAAGCAGGGGAUAAUUCCAAGAUGCCAGGUCACUGAUGCCAGCAAAAUUGUAAUACCUUCCUGUCAGCAGGAUCUGCAGAAGAAAUAUCGAGACUGUAAAACCUGAGGCACUCCUUAUUCAACCUGUCUGGAAUACUGCUUCUGAUCCUCUUUUUGUUGCUUUCUCCUGAUGCCUGGACUUUCUCUCAGUGCCACCUAGGUGAGCUUGGAAUGAAUAAGUUGAAGGAGAACUACCACGUGGGCUCUAGGGAUUGAAUUCAGUUCAUGAGGUUCAGUAAGCUCUUUUAUCCAUUGAGCCAGCACUCACGCCUAAUUUCUGAUGCAUUAUUAUUUGAGUUCAUGGUAUCAUAGUAUGUUCAUAAAGCCAAAACUCUAAAUCAAAGGUUAAACUUAAACUCUGUGCAUUAGCUUACCGGCUCCACUUUAACCAGUAUAUUAGUGGACGUUAACACUAAUGUGGCUAAACUACAGACUUAGUGUGGAAAAAAAAUUGAAAUAAAUUGUUCAUGCCAUGAGGACAUAACAACCCACUGAGUGACAAAAUUCCACUGUCAGUAUUUGUCACUCUUUUCAACAUUCAGCAUUUAAUCUGUAGUGGAUCUUUUUGCUAUGCUGUAAACAUAGACAAUUUAAAACUUUGGGAACACAAAUUAUAGAAUAAACAAAGAUGUUUGAUAGUAUGGUUAGAAUGAACAUCUUGGGUACUGUGGUAGUUUGAAUUAUUUGGCCCCCAUAAGCUCAUAGGGAAUGGCACUAUUAGGAGGUGUGGCCUUGUUGGAAGAGACUGGAUGACACAUGCCUAUAAUCCAGAUCUUGAGGCUGGAGGAAACACCUUUAAUCUGGGCCAGACCUUCUGGAGGAAGUGUGACACUCUGGAGGAGGGGUUUGAGGUUUCAUACACUCAGGAUACUGUCCAGUGAGUCGGUCAACUUCCUGUUACCUCUGAGUCCAGAUAUAGCACCACAUCUGCCUGAAUGUCACAUGCUCCCUGGCAUUGAUCAUAAAUGGACUGGACCUCUAAAACCGUAAGCUAGCCACCCUCAAUUAAAUGUCUUCCUUUAUAAGAGUUGCUAUGGUCAUGGGGUCUCUUCACAGUAAUAAAAGCCCAAACUAAAACAGGUACACAACCUAUCUCUUUAUUGAUAUUAUUUCAGUGGUUAAAGUAAGUAUCUUUCUUAUGGUUAAGAGAAUGGGGUUUGUGAAGUAAGGAUUACCACAGCUUCCCAUGUGAAUGCUGUGCAGUUAUCAAAAGAGGGAAAUUAAAGGGUAAAAAUGGCUGCUAGGGUUCUCUCUUCAGUGAGACCUUGUGAAGCGAUGGCUGUGAUUAGGAUUUCAAUGCUAACCAAGGAGGCCUCAAAAAAUUACAUUUGGGGAUUUGAAGUGGAAAUCUCUAGUUGCCAUAACUGAGAUGUUAGGUGUUUUUUUUAAUGAUAUAUUGAUUAAGUUGACAUAUACAAAUCAGUAAGGAAAAUUCACUUUCUGUUGAAAUUAAAUGGUAACAAAGCUAGUGACAGUGCCACAAGCCUGUAAUUGUAGAACUCACAGAGGACCAGGACCCCCAGGCAACAUGCAGUCCUUACAGAAGGAGACACCUCUUCCCCAGAAUAAGAAUAAACUGUGACAAAAGACGCUUGAAAUGCUGAAAUAUUAUUGUGAUUUAUAGCUCUGAUUUUGUCAGUGUUCUUAUUAACAGCCCUGUGGAGGGUGGAAUAGAAUGCUUUUUUUUUUUUCCUGUUUCUUUUUCCGUGUACAGACACCAUGCUGGGAAUUUGUAUGAAACACACAAAAGGUUUGAAAUGUGAAGAAGAGAAAUCAGACUGAGGACAGUAAGGAGGACUCUGAGUUUUCCUUUUCCUUCAUUUUCCUGUAAGAGCUAGAUCUCCAAGUCAAGGGCCCCAGAGUCUCUUGUGAUAGCCUCUCCUCACUUCUUGACCUUCCCAUCCUCUCUACUACAAGUGUCAAAGAACUAGGAAACCGAGGAAGAAAGAAAACAUUUAAUCAAUAACUGCUAUACCAAGCCAAAUCCAUGAAACUAACCAGAGGAUGCUCCAGUUUAUGUGGGGAGCAGGAAUAUUCAUUUCUACAGCACAUAAAAGAGCCCCACCCUUGGGCCUGUGGAAGGUUGCACAUGCUGUGCCAUGAGACACAUCUGUCCCUCCUACAUGGGGGAGAGUUGUUGGAGAUUCACCCCAGAUUAAUAGCAACAAACAGUAUCUUCUCUUCCUUUUCUCCACUCUGUCAACAGAAGUGACUGAGGGACCUGAGCUUCUGUCCCUAACUUAUAUUCCUCCACCCACUAGAGUGGUCUCAAAGGAAAAUAGGUAAAGAAGGUUUAAAGAACUCCUUAGCUUCUCAAUGUGCAAUUUCAAUUAAUCAUUUCUAGAACAAGAAUAAAAUCAACUCAAAACAACAGAUAUAGUACUUAAUCUAUGACAUAAAUGCUAGAAUUAUCUGACAAAAAUUUUAAAGCAGCUAUCAUAUAAAUGAUUCAAUAAACAAUGUAAGUACUCAUGAAAUUAAUAUAUAUGAAAGAGAGUGUAAGGAAGGAAGGAAUUCAGGAAAGAAGUAAGGAAGGAAAUAGGAAAUGAGAAAUUUUGGUCUUAACAAAAAUAAUAGAUACAAUGAGAAGCCAGUUGGAAAAUGUUUGAGCUGAAAAAUGCAAAGAGUCAGCAUCAAAACACAGUGCUUGGAAUCUAUAUCAGAGUGGAAGAGACACAGGAAUAUUGGUGAGCUGGAAGUCACAAGAACUGCUCAUCUGUAGAAAGUACAGAUACUUUUUUCAGAAAGCAGUCUGAAAAAAAAAAUAGACAGAACUUCAAGGUCCUCUGAAUAUAAAAAAGACCUGAUAUUUGCAUUAUCAAAGUCCCACUGGGAAAUAAGGGUAAGGGCUUGAAAAUGGUCCCUAAUAAAUGAUGGGUGAAUUUUUCUAAAUUUGGCAAAAUAUAUAGAUCACUUGAUUGCAUAGAGUGGCUUUUAACAGAAUAAAUUCAAAAAAAUCCAUAUCAAAACAUAUCACUGAUAUUUUUUUAAGAACUAAAGACCAAAUACACACAUACCAAUAACAACAGCCAAAGAUGGGUUGUGUCCACCUGCAUGAAGAAUUCUAGAGUUAGGAAAAUGAUAGAGGCUAACUUUACAAUGUUCCAUGUUCCAUGGAUCCAUUUAUUUAACAGUAUUGAGACAAUAACAUUAUGAAGAUUGCUAUGCACAAGGAUUGAAGAGGAAGGAAUUGCGGCCAUCAGAGGGCAGUGGGAAGGGCCCUGUGGGUAUAUUACAGAAAAAAAUAUUACUUCUAGUGCCUCUAUAGAUGUCAAUAAUGGAUAUACUAUGCAUUUUGCAAGACGUAGCACUGGGAGAAACCAAGUAAAGGACUAGGUAACAGUCCUACAACUACAUAUCUAUAAUGACGUCAAAAUUACAAUUUAAUUUAGUACCUAAUAAAUCUAAAGGUUCUACCACUCUGAAAUUAUAAUCAAGUAAACUUGACUAUCUUUUGGAUCCUAGGCAAUAUUGGGCAAAUGUUCAGUGUUUUGAGCCUACUUUCUUGGCAGUUGAGUGGGCAUGACAAGAUCUACAUUGCUGAGUUCAAAAAUGAAAUGAUGUUUAUAAAUGAGCAUAUCUCCUUCAGGGCUACGAGAGAAACUAUCAAGAACUAACCAGGUAAACACUGUUUGCCUGGCUCCAACCUAAACUAAGUAGAUUGUUUUUUUUUGUUUGUUUGUUUGUUAUUUGGUCAUAAUUUAUGUGAAAUGUUUCCUAUAACCAUGGUUCCUAUGCCUGAAUGGUAGCACAUGUGAUAUUCAAAUGAAAAACCACUAUGGGGUUUCCAAGUUCAAAGUCAAUAGUGACUAAUUAGAAUCUGUGUCCAUCAGUGUCUACCACCACUUCUAGCCUUUCUGAUGGGCAGCUCUUCCUCUGUGUUACCUACCUUUCAGUAAAGAAACAUUCUAUUCCUCUGGUUUCCUGUUUCCUUCUAGUAUCUCCAUGAUAUUGUACCUCUAAACUCAAGAAAGCAAAAGAAUGUUCCUCUGACAUAGCGAAGGACACAUUAUUAUUUAUAUAUCAUAUGUUUAUUUACAUGUAACUUAUUUAUAGCAUGUAAAUAUAUCUCAAUAAUUCUACCAUUUUAUAGCUGAAGAAAC